CCAUAGCGAUGACAGGAAAGCCCAGCACCGAAGCCUGUGGCCAUUUGGCUACUAGGCAAUGUGGUGUUUAGGUCGUUCCUUGAGAGCGCUGCCUCACUCCAAGUCCAGCAAUGAGUACGGUAACAUUGACAUGGCCCAGAGAGGGUGAAAGGCCCGUGGGAGUGAGGUCGCAGAAAUGCCAGUGCUUUCCUGGAUAGACCUUGGAGUCGGGUUGUUUGUGAAUGCAGCCCAAAGUGGGUGGUAAACUCCAUCCAAGGCUAAAUACUAACACGAGUCCGAUAGCGAACAAGUACCGUGAGGGAAAGUUGAAAAGUACUUUGAAGAGAGAGUAAACAGUGCGUGAAACCGCUCAGAGGUAAACGGGUGGAGUUGAACUGUGAUCUCUGUGGAUUUAGCUGGUGAGUAUGGCUUGUGCUUGGGCAAAUUGGUUGAGUUCUGGAAUCUGCUUAGCCGCAGGUCCUUGCCUUCGGGUAGGGAUGCGCGAUGCACUUAUCAGGUGCUGCGCGUUCUGGUUAAUUCGUGCUUGCUCGCCAGUGCACUUUCGCAGAGUGUUCACCACGACCGGCAUUGUUGUCUGGCUGUUGUGGUUAAACCGGCUUUACUUUGUCCUAUGGGCUUUGAAUUGUCGGGAUGGCAGGUAGCUCAAUUGCCUUGCUCCGCUUGGCUCUCGGGUGUUACUAGCUGACCGCAUCGGUUCUGUGCAGUAUGUCGGAGACGGCGGCUUGUGGUACAUGCGCGCGUGAUCGUUGGUUGGCGUGCUCGGGUUGGGUUGCUACGUUGCUCGUAUCUGACGGGCCUAGGAACAGCUCGGGUAUGUUCAGCUGGCAGUUGUGUGUGUAGUGCUUUCCAGGGCCAACAGUCUGUGGUGUGCGGUAGACGACCACUGACCGCUGACG
rnacentral:rRNA from 1 species